GUCGGAUUUUACACUCCCAAAUCCCUGUGAACAUACCUAUACGUUGCCUCGGCGGAUCAGUCCGCGCCCCGUAAAACGGGACGGUCCGCCCGAGGACCCUAAACUCUGUUUUUAGUGGAACUUCUGAGUAAAACAAUCAAAUAAAUCAAUACUUCCAACAAUGGAUCUCUUGGUUCUGGCAUCGAUGAAGAACGCAGCAAAAUGCGAUAAGUAAUGUGAAUUGCAGAAUUCAGUGAAUCAUCGAAUCUUUGAACGCACAUUGCGCCCGCCAGUAUUCUGGCGGGCAUGCCUGUUCGAGCGUCAUUUCAACCCUCAAGCUCAGCUUGGUGUUGGGACUCGCGGUAACCCGCGUUCCCCAAAUCGAUUGGCGGUCACGUCGAGCUUCCAUAGCGUAGUAAUCAUACACCUCGUUACUGGUAAUCGUCGCGGCCACGCCCGUAAAACCCCAACUUCUGAAUGUUGACCUCGGAUCAGGUAGGAAUACCCGCUGAACUUAAGCCUAU
rnacentral:rRNA from 1 species